CCUAGUGCCGUCUCAUCGGAUGUUGACAUCGUCCACGCUUCUGCACCGUAAAGUAGGACGGGAAUGAUGAGGGACUUGUAGAGUUUGGUUUUUGUUCCUCGAGAGAGGACUUUACUUUUCAAUUGCCUACUUAGUCCAUAGUAGUACCUGUUGGCAAGAGUGAUUCUGCGUUGGAUUUCAAGGCUGACAUUCUUGGUGUUGUUAAUGCUAGUUCCCAGAUAAACGAAAUUAUCUACAACUUCAAAGUUAUGACUGUCAACAGUGACGUGGGAGCCAAGACGCGAGUGCGCUGACUGUUUGUUCGAUGACAGGAGAUAUUUUGUCUUGUCCUCAUUCACCACCAGACCCAUACGCUUCGCUUCUUUAUCUAGUCGGGAAGUAAGUAAUUGUCAAGUAGUAAAACCACCUUCGAAUUUAUAGAUUUUUUAACAAAAAUCGAAGAAAUUUAUACACAACAAUUUGAUUCUACUUGCUAUAACAUCGUAUUUUCCCAAAUAUUGUUUGAAAAAAUGGUGGACGUAGAUACUAUUGUUGUGAAAACUGUAGUUACGACGUGUUAAAAUAUCUCUAUAAAAGAAUUAUAACAUAUUUCCUUUUAAUAAAAAAGUGAAACAUACUGAUUUCAAAAACAUAAUUUUUUUGUGUGUUACACACAACAGAAAUCUUGUCCGUUUGUCUGUCUAUAUGAGUCGGAAUAUAAUCUGGAUCUGUUUGUUUGUCUUUUUGAAUUUUUGUCUUAUUGUUGUUUGUCUGUUUGUUCAUAUGUUUGUCUGUUAAGUAAUUUUCAUUGUUAACUUGAUUUGAUGUUUUGAAAGGUCGAGUUUUUUUGUUAUUAUUAGGUUCGUACGCUUAUUAUUGUUUUUAAACCGUUUUGUGUGCCAAGUUUAGGACCCUUUUCUCCUCCACUAUUCUUUUGAUAAGGUUUUUUACUUAGGAUUUAUAUUUUGUAUGAUUUUCUGAUUUUUGAUAUUUUGUAUAUAUUGUUAUUGUUAUCGUUUUUUCUUGAAUUAUCUUAAUAUAUAAAAAUCACGUGUCACGUUGUUUGUUUUCGAUGGACUCCUAAACUACUGAACCGAUUUUAAUGAAAUUUUUAACACUGUGUGCAGUUUGGUCCAACUUGAAAGAUAGGAUAGUUUAUAACUCUUCUUAUAGUUGCAUUAUUUAUUUAUUGCAAAUUAUUUGUUUAUUAUUAGCAAAGAGCUAUCCACCAGUUGGUGGCGCUAAGUGCGCUAUGUUACAAUAGAUGGCGGUACAUUUAUUUCUAAAUUUUCAUGGAUUUAGGCUGUCAUAACAAAAGCUGCCACUUGCUAAAAACAUUAAAUGAAAAUGCGUUGUUUGAAGUUUAUAUUAUUUGUGGUAAAGUUAUACGAAUCUAUGACUUCCAAUAUUCUAAAUUUAAGAAAAAAUCACAUACAAUCCGUGAAAUAAAUAAAGUUAUGUACAUAUGUAUGGUCAGACAAAUAAGCAACCCUGCAAGACGGAGGUAACAAACUGCACAAACACAAUCAAACUUUUUCAGAUGUUUACUCAUACAAUUACAACACUUACAUUUGUUUACAACUUUGAAUUGAAUUGGAGAAAGCUUUCGUUAGAAAGAGAAAAAAUAUUGCCACUGUAAGCAUAUUGAUAUAAUAAUAUGCUAAAAGAAGACAGAUAUGACAUUAAAAAAAGAAAAACUGAAAUUGAAGCCGCAAUUUGGCCAUUUUAUAAAAAAAUUGGCGUAAGGUUAUUUUUGGUUAAAUUUUAUUAUUAAUAUUAAUUGAUUUUAAUUUUUAUGCAGGAGAUAUGUAAAAGUAUUCAAUUAAAAAGGCAAAAUCAACGCACAAAGACCGGGACUUGAUACAAAAGAAAAUGUGUUAGAUGCCUGGAUGCUGGGAUGGAAUUUCUUGAUAUGUUGUUAGCAGGUUUGCGUAAGGUGUAUCCAGUCCACACCCAACAUUGUUAAAAUAUAUACAUAUAUUUAGAAUAAGAAUAAAAUAAGAUUAUAUAUCAUUUGAAUUUGUUAAAUUAGAACAUAAAUUGCAUAAAUAUAAUAAUUUAUAUAUAAAUGUAAUUUUUAUAUUAAUAACUUGUAAAUGUAAAAAUUUAAUAAUAAGUUUAACUGUUUAAGUUUAUAUGAUUGUAUUAUCUACAUAUUUGAUUUUGUAAUAAUUAAAAAUGUAAUAAAAUAAAAUAAAAAACAAAAAGAAAAUAAUUAUUUUUAACUGUUAGCGGAAAAAGAUAACAAAUAUAGGUAACAAGCUGCUAACCAAAAUAAUGACCCGUACGGUAACAAAUACAUCUGUUCUGAAUAACAUAGGGAUAACAUAUAUGCUAACAUUUGCUUCAGCAGAGGUAAAAAUAUGAAAAUAUAUGAGGCCAUUAACAGACUGUUAGUUGUCAAAACUUGACCAAUAGGAGACAAGUAUAAGUGUUAUCGUAGAACGAGACCACUUAUGCAAAAUGUAAUUGGAUAGAGUGAGAAAACCGUUGAACGAGUAGGGGCAUAGUGUUACUUCUUUCCCACGCUUCGAACAAAAGUAACACACAAAUUAAUUUUUGCUAAUGUUUAGAGUAACAUAGCUGUAACAUGUUAGCUGAAAAUUACCCGUCUUGCAGGGAAUGAACAGAGUUCAAAAAGCGUUUUAACUAUUUCGAAUAAAAAUUGGGUGGGGCGAAGUUCGCCGGGUCAGCUAGUCUUAAUAUAUAAAAAUCACAUGUCACGUUGUUUGUUUUCGAUGGACUCCUAAACUACUGAACCGAUUUUAAUGAAAUUUUUAACACUGUGUGCAGUUUGGUCCAACUUGAAAGAUAGGAUAGUUUAUAACUCUCCUUAUAGUCGCAUUAUUUAUUUAUUGCAAAUUAUUUGUUUAUUAUUAGCAAAGAGCUAUCCACCAGUUGGUGGCGCUAAGUGCGCUAUGUUACAGUAGAUGGCGCUACAUUUCUUUCUAAAUUUUCAUGGCUGUCAUAACAAAAGCUGCCACUUGCUAAAAACAUUAAAUGAAAAUGCGUUGUUUGAAGUUUAUAUUAUUUGGAUGUGAGUACAUUCAUUUGAAUAUUUGUACGUUAGUUUGUGGUUUGUCGAAGUUUUCUAGCGCUUUUGGAUACAUAUUAAUGCAUUUAUAUAUUCAUUUAUACGUGUGUGUAAAUAUGUGUGUUUUUUUCAUAAAAAUAUUUCAUUUUCAAUAUAUGUUCGAUUGUGUGUGUAGAUAAAAUUUGUCAGUACGUGUAUACUUUUUCUGUAGUUGGCUUUGUAUAUUUUUACAUUACCGCAAGUGUUUGAAUAUAUUUACGAUUGUAUGUAUAUUUUCUGAUUUGUUGGUUUGUGGUUGCAUAUCAUAGCUGGCUUUUGAAAAUUUUUACAUUGCGGCAGGUGUUUGUUUAUAUACGUGUAGUUGAUUGUAUUUUUUUAAAUUUGAAUUUGUUUUUGUGUGACGUAAUGGUUGGCGAUCCUGUUGAAAAUCGAUCAAUAAAAAUCACACAGCAGGACAUCGCUCAUUUGACACACUUCAAUAUCCUCUAAUGUUUUGACAAGGACAGGACGAAUAUCAUAUAAAUAUAUGAAUUUUAAUACAAACUAUACAUUUUAUAACUAUAUUCCUAGGUAAUAAUUUAAAUGUAUUAAAAAAUAAAAAAUAUAUAUAUAUAUAUGUAUAUAAAUUAUUCACAGCAAAGCGUGCCCGGGUUUACUAGUAUAUAUAUUUUUUUUUUUGUUUAUUACAAGUAGAUUGUUUUGCAAUCUGGAACUAAAUGUGAAUGAAUUGUAC